GAUGAACGCUGGCGGCGUGCCUAAUACAUGCAAGUCGAGCGAACAGACGAGGAGCUUGCUCCUUUGACGUUAGCGGCGGACGGGUGAGUAACGCGUGGGUAACCUACCUAUAAGACUGGGAUAACUUCGGGAAACCGGAGCUAAUACCGGAUAAUAUUUCGAACCGCAUGGUUCGAUAGUGAAAGAUGGCUUUGCUAUCACUUAUAGAUGGACCUGCGCCGUAUUAGCUAGUUGGUAAGGUAACGGCUUACCAAGGCAACGAUACGUAGCCGACCUGAGAGGGUGAUCGGCCACACUGGAACUGAGACACGGUCCAGACUCCUACGGGAGGCAGCAGUAGGGAAUCUUCCGCAAUGGGCGAAAGCCUGACGGAGCAACGCCGCGUGAGUGAUGAAGGUCUUCGGAUCGUAAAACUCUGUUAUUAGGGAAGAAUAAACGUGUAAGUAACUGUGCACGUCUUGACGGUACCUAAUCAGAAAGCCACGGCUAACUACGUG
rnacentral:rRNA from 1 species